AGCGUACACGGUGGAUGCCCUGGCAGUCAGAGGCGAUGAAGGACGUGCUAAUCUGCGAUAAGCGUCGGUAAGGUGAUAUGAACCGUUAUAACCGGCGAUUUCCGAAUGGGGAAACCCAGUGUGAUUCGUCACACUAUCAUUAACUGAAUCCAUAGGUUAAUGAGGCGAACCGGGGGAACUGAAACAUCUAAGUACCCCGAGGAAAAGAAAUCAACCGAGAUUCCCCCAGUAGCGGCGAGCGAACGGGGAGGAGCCCAGAGCCUGAAUCAGUGUGUGUGUUAGUGGAAGCGUCUGGAAAGGCGCGCGAUACAGGGUGACAGCCCCGUACACAAAAAUGCACAUGCUGUGAGCUCGAUGAGUAGGGCGGGACACGUGGUAUCCUGUCUGAAUAUGGGGGGACCAUCCUCCAAGGCUAAAUACUCCUGACUGACCGAUAGUGAACCAGUACCGUGAGGGAAAGGCGAAAAGAACCCCGGCGAGGGGAGUGAAAAAGAACCUGAAACCGUGUACGUACAAGCAGUGGGAGCACGCUUAGGCGUGUGACUGCGUACCUUUUGUAUAAUGGGUCAGCGACUUAUAUUCUGUAGCAAGGUUAACCGAAUAGGGGAGCCGAAGGGAAACCGAGUCUUAACUGGGCGUUAAGUUGCAGGGUAUAGACCCGAAACCCGGUGAUCUAGCCAUGGGCAGGUUGAAGGUUGGGUAACACUAACUGGAGGACCGAACCGACUAAUGUUGAAAAAUUAGCGGAUGACUUGUGGCUGGGGGUGAAAGGCCAAUCAAACCGGGAGAUAGCUGGUUCUCCCCGAAAGCUAUUUAGGUAGCGCCUCGUGAAUUCAUCUCCGGGGGUAGAGCACUGUUUCGGCAAGGGGGUCAUCCCGACUUACCAACCCGAUGCAAACUGCGAAUACCGGAGAAUGUUAUCACGGGAGACACACGGCGGGUGCUAACGUCCGUCGUGAAGAGGGAAACAACCCAGACCGCCAGCUAAGGUCCCAAAGUCAUGGUUAAGUGGGAAACGAUGUGGGAAGGCCCAGACAGCCAGGAUGUUGGCUUAGAAGCAGCCAUCAUUUAAAGAAAGCGUAAUAGCUCACUGGUCGAGUCGGCCUGCGCGGAAGAUGUAACGGGGCUAAACCAUGCACCGAAGCUGCGGCAGCGACACUAUGUGUUGUUGGGUAGGGGAGCGUUCUGUAAGCCUGUGAAGGUGUGCUGUGAGGCAUGCUGGAGGUAUCAGAAGUGCGAAUGCUGACAUAAGUAACGAUAAAGCGGGUGAAAAGCCCGCUCGCCGGAAGACCAAGGGUUCCUGUCCAACGUUAAUCGGGGCAGGGUGAGUCGACCCCUAAGGCGAGGCCGAAAGGCGUAGUCGAUGGGAAACAGGUUAAUAUUCCUGUACUUGGUGUUACUGCGAAGGGGGGACGGAGAAGGCUAUGUUGGCCGGGCGACGGUUGUCCCGGUUUAAGCGUGUAGGCUGGUUUUCCAGGCAAAUCCGGAAAAUCAAGGCUGAGGCGUGAUGACGAGGCACUACGGUGCUGAAGCAACAAAUGCCCUGCUUCCAGGAAAAGCCUCUAAGCAUCAGGUAACAUCAAAUCGUACCCCAAACCGACACAGGUGGUCAGGUAGAGAAUACCAAGGCGCUUGAGAGAACUCGGGUGAAGGAACUAGGCAAAAUGGUGCCGUAACUUCGGGAGAAGGCACGCUGAUAUGUAGGUGAAGCGACUUGCUCGUGGAGCUGAAAUCAGUCGAAGAUACCAGCUGGCUGCAACUGUUUAUUAAAAACACAGCACUGUGCAAACACGAAAGUGGACGUAUACGGUGUGACGCCUGCCCGGUGCCGGAAGGUUAAUUGAUGGGGUUAGCGCAAGCGAAGCUCUUGAUCGAAGCCCCGGUAAACGGCGGCCGUAACUAUAACGGUCCUAAGGUAGCGAAAUUCCUUGUCGGGUAAGUUCCGACCUGCACGAAUGGCGUAAUGAUGGCCAGGCUGUCUCCACCCGAGACUCAGUGAAAUUGAACUCGCUGUGAAGAUGCAGUGUACCCGCGGCAAGACGGAAAGACCCCGUGAACCUUUACUAUAGCUUGACACUGAACAUUGAGCCUUGAUGUGUAGGAUAGGUGGGAGGCUUUGAAGUGUGGACGCCAGUCUGCAUGGAGCCGACCUUGAAAUACCACCCUUUAAUGUUUGAUGUUCUAACGUUGACCCGUGAUCCGGGUUGCGGACAGUGUCUGGUGGGUAGUUUGACUGGGGCGGUCUCCUCCUAAAGAGUAACGGAGGAGCACGAAGGUUGGCUAAUCCUGGUCGGACAUCAGGAGGUUAGUGCAAUGGCAUAAGCCAGCUUGACUGCGAGCGUGACGGCGCGAGCAGGUGCGAAAGCAGGUCAUAGUGAUCCGGUGGUUCUGAAUGGAAGGGCCAUCGCUCAACGGAUAAAAGGUACUCCGGGGAUAACAGGCUGAUACCGCCCAAGAGUUCAUAUCGACGGCGGUGUUUGGCACCUCGAUGUCGGCUCAUCACAUCCUGGGGCUGAAGUAGGUCCCAAGGGUAUGGCUGUUCGCCAUUUAAAGUGGUACGCGAGCUGGGUUUAGAACGUCGUGAGACAGUUCGGUCCCUAUCUGCCGUGGGCGCUGGAGAACUGAGGGGGGCUGCUCCUAGUACGAGAGGACCGGAGUGGACGCAUCACUGGUGUUCGGGUUGUCAUGCCAAUGGCACUGCCCGGUAGCUAAAUGCGGAAGAGAUAAGUGCUGAAAGCAUCUAAGCACGAAACUUGCCCCGAGAUGAGUUCUCCCUGACUCCUUGA
rnacentral:rRNA from 1 species